rnacentral:rRNA from 1 species
UACGGGGGGGGCAAGCGUUGUUCGGAAUUACUGGGCGUAAAGGGUUCGUAGGCGGUGCGGUAAGUCGGACGUGAAUACCUCCGCGUCAACCACGAGGACGUGCAUCCGAAACUACUGUGCUCGAGUAUGGAAGAGGGUCGCGGAAUUCUCGGUGUAGAGGUGAAAUUCGUAGAUAUCUGGAGGAACACCGGUGGCGAAGGCGGCAUCCUGGACCGACACUGACGCUGAGGCGCGAAAGCUAGGGUAGCAAACGGG